rnacentral:rRNA from 1 species
UACGUGGGGUGCGAGCGUUGUCCGGAAUUAUUGGGCGUAAAGAGCUUGUAGGCGGUUUGUCGCGUCUGCCGUGAAAUUUCGAGGCUCAACCUCGAACUUGCGGUGGGUACGGGCAGACUAGAGUGGUGGUAGGGGAGACUGGAAUUCCUGGUGUAGCGGUGAAAUGCGCAGAUAUCAGGAGGAACACCGAUGGCGAAGGCAGGUCCCUGGGCCACUACUGACGCUGAGAAGCGAAAGCUGGGGAGCGAACAGG